CGGUGUCCCCAUGUGUCACCCGGCCACCCCAGGAUCCCCAUGGGGCACCCGGCCACCACGGCGUCCCCAUGGGGCGCCCGGCCACCACCCAGCAUCACCUCGAGGUAGCCAGCCACCCUGGUGUCCCCAUGGGGCGCUUGGGCACCCUGGUGUCCCCAUGUGUCACCUGGCCACCCUGGCAUCCCCAUGGGGCACCCGGCCACCACGGCAUCCCCAUGGGGCACCCGGCCACCACCCGGCGUCACCUCGAGGUACCCGGCCACCCUGGUGUCCCCAUGUGUCACCUGGCCACCCUGGCAUCCCCAUGGGGCACCCAGCCACCACGGCGUCCCCAUGGGGCACCCAGCCACCACCCGGCGUCACCUCGAGGUACCCGGCCACCCUGGUGUCCCCAUGUGUCACCUGGCCACCCUGGCAUCCCCAUGGGGCACCCGGCCACCACGGCGUCCCCAUGGGGUGCCCGGCCACCACCCGGCGUCACCUCGAGGUACCCGGCCACCCCAGCACCCCAUGGGGCACCCACCCACCCUGGCAUCCCCAUGUGUCACCUGGCCACCCCAGGAUCCCCAUGGGGGACCUGGUCACCGCAGCAUCCCCAUGUGUCACCUGGCCACCCUGGCAUCCCCAUGGGGCACCCAGCCACCACCCGGCGUCACCUUGAGGUACCUGGCCACCAUGGCAUCCCCAGGUGUCACCCGGCCACCCCGGCAUCCCUAUGGGGCACCCCAGCAUCCCCAAGGGGCACCCGGCCAACCCGGCACCCCAUGGGGCACCCAGCCACCCCGGCGUCCCUAUGGGGCACCCGGCCACCCCGACCUCCCCAUGGGCCACCACGGCGUCCCCAUGGGCCACCACGGCGUCCCCCCGGAGCACCCAGCCACCCCGACCUCCCCAAGGGGGGAUCCAGGACAUCUCCUGGUGGGUCCCAGAGGAGGGCAGCGCCGUGGGGUGCCGUGUCCCCAGGGGACGGGGACGGCGGGGCGGGCGCCCGGUGCGGCUGUACCCCGAUGACGCGGGUGGCCAGGCCCUCCUCGAGCUCGUCGCUGGUGGCCUCCUCGGCCCACGUGUCCUCGCUGAGCUGCAGCUCCUGCGCCAUGGCCACCUCCACCUUCGCCUGGGGGGAGGCGGUGCCCGUUGGGGACACGCGGGCUGCGGUGCCCGUCCCCAUGUCCACCACGGUGCCCAU
rnacentral:lncRNA from 1 species